AAGUCGUAACAAGGUUUCCGUAGGUGAACCUGCGGAAGGAUCAUUAAAAGAGAUAGGGUCUCACGGCCCGACCUCCAACCCUUUGUUGUUUAAAAAAACCUGUUGCUUUGGCGGGACCGUUCGUCCUCGUGACGGACUGUCGGUCUUCGGCCCGGCAAGCGCCCGUCAGAGUCCAACCAAACUCUUGAUAUAACCAGUCGUCUGAGAAUGAAGAUUUAAUCAAUUAAAACUUUCAACAACGGAUCUCUUGGUUCUGGCAUCGAUGAAGAACGCAGCGAAAUGCGAUAAGUAAUGUGAAUUGCAGAAUUCAGUGAAUCAUCGAAUCUUUGAACGCACAUUGCGCCCCCUGGUAUUCCGGGGGGCAUGCCUGUUCGAGCGUCAUUACACCACUCAAGCUAUGCUUGGUAUUAGGCCCUCGCCCCUGUCAAAGGGGGNGUGCCUCANACACCUCGGCGGAGUCUCAUCGGCUUUGGGCGCAGUAGAAUUUACUCNAAACGCUCGUGGAGUCUGGUGGAACUUUUGCCGCAAAACCGCGUCGAAAGACACAUUUUUAAAGGUUGACCUCGGAUCAGGUAGGGAUACCCGCCGAACUUAAGCAUAUCAAUAAGCGGAGGAAAAGAAACCAACAGGGAUUGCCCUAGUAACGGCGAGUGAAGCGGCAACAGCUCAAAUUUGAAAUCUGGCUCCUUCGGGGCCCGAGUUGUAAUUUGUAGAGGAUGCUUUUGGGCAGUCUCCGGUCUAAGUUCCUUGGAACAGGACGUCAUAGAGGGUGAGAAUCCCGUAUGUGACCGGACAGACACCCUUCGUAAAGCUCCUUCGACGAGUCGGAUUGUUUGGGAAUGCAGUCCUAAAUGGGAGGUAAAUUUCUUCUAAAGCUAAAUAUUGNCCAGAGACCGAUAGCGCACAAGUAGAGUGAUCGAAAGAUGAAAAGCACUUUGGAAAGAGAGUUAAAGAGCACGUGAAAUUGUUGAAAGGGAAGCGCUUGCAAUCAGACUCGACUUUAACUGUUCAGCCGGUCUUCUGACCGGUCCACUCAGUAAUCGUCGGGCCAGCGUCAGUUUCGGCGGCCGGAUAAAGGCCUGGGGAAUGUAGCUCCCUCGGGAGUGUUAUAGCCCUGGGUGUCAUACGGCCAGCCGGGACUGAGGUCCGCGCUUCGGCUAGGACGCUGGCGUAAUGGUUGUAAGCGGCC
rnacentral:rRNA from 1 species